GUGAAUCAUCGAAUUUUUGAACGCAAAUUGCACUCUCCUCGGAGAGUAUGCCUGUUUGAGGGUCAGCCUAUAAAAAUCGACAUCGUUGCUGUUUCGCGGUGGCGUUCGUCGGAAAUUGGGUCAUCUUAAAUCCUUUUGAUUUAAGCGACUUAAAAUUUUCUUUUGUUUCGUUGAAGGUUUUUAGGUUUUAUUUCUUUACCGUUUAAGGUUAU
rnacentral:misc_RNA from 1 species